GUAGGGUGCGAGCGUUAAUCGGGAAUUACUGGGGCGUAGAGCGUGCGCAGGUGGUUUUGUAAGUCAGAUGUGAAAUCCCCGGGGCUUAACCUGGGAACUGCGUUUGAAACUGCAAGGCUAGAGUGUGGCAGAGGGGGGUGGAAUUCCGCGUGUAGCAGUGAAAUGCGUAGAGAUGUGGAGGAACACCGAUGGCGAAGGCAGCCCCCUGGGUCAACACUGACGCUCAGGCACGAAAGCAUGGGGAGCAAACAGGAUUAGAUACCCUGGUAGUCCAUGCCCUAAACGAUGUCAACUAGUUGUCGGGUCUUAACGGGCUUGGUAACGUAGCUAACGCGUGAAGUUGACCGCCUGGGGAGUACGAUCGCAAAGAUUAA
rnacentral:rRNA from 1 species